GUACUCGCUUCGGCAGCAUAUAUACUAAAAUUGGAACAAUACAGAGAUUAGCAUGGCCCCUGCGCAAGG
rnacentral:snRNA from 1 species